UCCUCGGGUCAGUCUGGCGUAAAACGCUGCAUUGAAAAGUCGUGCUAAGUUUUUCUUUUUUGUAUCAUACGCGUUGACCCACCCGGUCUACGAGUACCACUCACGUAAUAAUAAAGGGGACAUUAAUUAAUAGUGAUAACAUGUCCAAUAUUUAUUGACCUUCGUCUAACCGUUGUUCUCCUCUCCUCAUUGAUCAUAGGAGUUGCCUCUGGAGCGUAUUGUCGUCCAAGUUCUGCUCUUUCCUGAUCUCUUCCAGAACACGAGGCAAAUUCUCCUGUCUAUGCUUCAAUAUUUGCAAUUGUGCACAAGUGAGGAGCAUCAUUCCAGCCACAAGAGUAUCAUUGCCAAUGGCAAUUGUGGAUUGGAACCCAUGACCAACAAUAACUUGUUGAAGCAGUCUCAACGAUGCAGAAGAAGAAGAGAAAAUUGAUCCUAGGUUGAUUAAGUGAGUUAAUCCCCAAAACAAAGGCAUUAUGGGAUUGUGGUAAAAUAUUGAAGAGAAAGUAACGGGGUAACAGGGACCGACGACGAUGGCCGAAAAAUGACACAGUUCGUGUUGGAAUAUUAAGUACUUUCAUUGUCCUACAAAAAUCACUCGACACCUCUUUUUGUUUCUCUGGGAGACAGCUCUACUAAGGGACUAAUUUACGAUCGGUUGUACUCCCCUUUCGAGACGGUUUGAGCCUAAACAUAUGCUGAAUGUUUAUUCGAGUCAUAAAAUUGUUUUUCUUUUCCCUGAGAGCGUUUUCCCUUUGAUAUAGUUUUCAGCAGCCCUCGGCUUUGCCAUGGGCCGCCAUCUUCACACUCGUUGCCACCCCGUCGCACUUGUAUCGAAAUAUACUAGUCCCAUGCCACGGUUUUCCAUGGUUUUCCUCGGUUACCAGGAGAGUCUGUACAUGGUGCACAACUCCUGGGGUAAAUGCGACACAGUUGGCGAGGAUGUCGGCCCAUGACACCGGAAAAUACAAUGUAAAAACUCGAGUGGGGUAUACAUGGAAUAAAUAAAUAAAAGUGACGGUGUAACAACGUAAUUCUACUCAUACAAACUAAUCUUGAAUAAUAAUGCACUUCAUUGAAUCGAA